rnacentral:rRNA from 1 species
AGAGUUUGAUCAUGGCUCAGAACGAACGCUGGCGGCAUGCCUAACACAUGCAAGUCGAACGAGACCUUCGGGUCUAGUGGCGCACGGGUGCGUAACGCGUGGGAAUCUGCCCUUGGGUUCGGAAUAACAGUUAGAAAUGACUGCUAAUACCGGAUAAUGACUUCGGUCCAAAGAUUUAUCGCCCAGGGAUGAGCCCGCGUCGGAUUAGCUAGUUGGUGAGGUAAAGGCUUACCAAGGCGACGAUCCGUAGCUGGUCUGAGAGGAUGAUCAGCCACACUGGGACUGAGACACGGCCCAGACUCCUACGGGAGGCAGCAGUGGGGAAUAUUGGACAAUGGGCGAAAGCCUGAUCCAGCAAUGCCGCGUGAGUGAUGAAGGCCCUAGGGUUGUAAAGCUCUUUUACCCGGGAUGAUAAUGACAGUACCGGGAGAAUAAGCCCCGGCUAACUCCGUGCCAGCAGCCGCGGUAAUAC